rnacentral:tRNA from 1 species
GCUCCUGUAGCUCAAUUAUCAGAGCGCAGCCCUCCGAAGGCUGAGGUUGCCGGUGAGAUUCCGGCUGGGAGCACCA